UUGGUUGGGCUCCUCUUGGUGAGGACUGAG
rnacentral:piRNA from 1 species